rnacentral:tRNA from 1 species
GGCCGCCUGGCGUAAUGGCAACGCGUCUGACUUCGAAUCAGAAGAUUGUAGGUUCGACCCCUGCGGCGGUCA